rnacentral:rRNA from 1 species
CCUUUUGUAUAAUGGGUCAGCGACUUAUAUUCUGUAGCAAGGUUAACCGAAUAGGGGAGCCGGAGGGAAACCGAGUCUUAACCGGGCGUUAAGUUGCAGGGUAUAGACCCGAAACCCGGUGAUCUAGCCAUGGGCAGGUUGAAGGUUGGGUAACACUAACUGGAGGACCGAACCGACUAAUGUUGAAAAAUUAGCGGAUGACCUGUGGCUGGGGGUGAAAGGCCAAUCAAACCGGGAGAUAGCUGGUUCUCCCCGAAAGCUAUUUAGGUAGCGCCUCGUGAAUUCAUCUCCGGGGGUAGAGCACUGUUUCGGCUAGGGGGCCAUCCCGGCUUACCAACCCGAUGCAAACUGCGAAUACCGGAGAAUGUUAUCACGGGAGACACACGGCGGGUGCUAACGUCCGUCGUGAAGAGGGAAACAACCCAGACCGCCAGCUAAGGUCCCAAAGUCAUGGUUAAGUGGGAAACGAUGUGGGAAGGCCCAGACAGCCAGGAUGUUGGCUUAGAAGCAGCCAUCAUUUAAAGAAAGCGUAAUAGCUCACUGGUCGAGUCGGCCUGCGCGGAAGAUGUAACGGGGCUAAACCAU